AGUAAAUAAUUAAGGGCGUAUGGUGGAUGCCUAGGCUCUCAGAGGCGAUGAAGGACGUGAUAAGCUGCGAAAAGCUCCGUUUAGGUGCAAAUAACCUUUGAUGCGGAGAUCUCCGAAUGGGAUAACCCAAUAUGUUGAAGACAUAUUAUACCGUAAGGUAGGCAAACGCAGGGAACUGAAACAUCUAAGUACCUGCAGGAGAAGAAAACAAACGUGAUUCCCCCAGUAGCGGCGAGCGACCGGGGA
rnacentral:rRNA from 1 species